UCGAGGGGUAUAAGUCUUCGGAUUUAGAGACCGGCGCACGGGUGCGUAACUGUCGUAUGCAAUCUACCUUUCACAGAGGGAUAGCCCAGAGAAAUUUGGAUUAAUACCUCAUAGUAUAGCUGAACCGCAUGGUUCUACUAUUAAAGUCACAACGGUGAAAGAUGAGCAUGCGUCCCAUUAGCUAGUUGGUAAGGUAACGGCUUACCAAGGCUACGAUGGGUAGGGGUCCUGAGAGGGAGAUCCCCCACACUGGUACUGAGACACGGACCAGACUCCUACGGGAGGCAGCAGUGAGGAAUAUUGGUCAAUGGACGCAAGUCUGAACCAGCCAUGCCGCGUGCAGGAUGACGGUCCUAUGGAUUGUAAACUGCUUUUGCACAGGAAGAAACAACUCUACGUGUAGAGUCUUGACGGUACUGUGAGAAUAAGGAUCGGCUAACUCCGUGCCAGCAGCCGCGGUAAUACGGAGGAUCCAAGCGUUAUCCGGAAUCAUUGGGUUUAAAGGGUCCGUAGGCGGUUUAGUAAGUCAGUGGUGAAAGCCCAUCGCUCAACGGUGGAACGGCCAUUGAUACUGCUAGACUUGAAUUAUUAGGAAGUAACUAGAAUAUGUAGUGUAGCGGUGAAAUGCUUAGAGAUUACAUGGAAUACCAAUUGCGAAGGCAGGUUACUACCAAUGGAUUGACGCUGAUGGACGAAAGCGUGGGUAGCGA
rnacentral:rRNA from 1 species